AGAAAUUAUGCAUCAUUUUAUACUUUAUUUGAAAUUUAGAUUUUUCAACAGACUCCCAAAGCAAUAUUGUCAGGAGUGCAAUGCUUUUAAAUGAAAUUGUUUAUUUAAAAUAGUGCAUACAAAACAGUAUAGGGAUCAAGGACAUUGGUUUUAAGAUUUUUCUUUAGUUCCCAAAAUGCAUCCACUCUCUUUGCUCAGUGUGGCUAUCUACAUUAUAAAUGAGCAUAAAUAUAUCAAGAAGCUUUUCUCCUUGCCUUACAGGUUCUCUGGAUGCAGAUCUGUUCCAGGAAACACAUUCGUAGCAUUGCCUGUGUAAUCCAACGGGAGCAACGGGAGUAUGCUGGGAGAAGACCUUUGUGUGAUUGUCACUUCCUAGAUUGAAAGAAGGCAUAAUAGAAAUGACCUUCUAACUAAGCUGCUCCUGAAAGGAUUACCUAGUGUGAGGAGAGAGACGAAGUCUUGCUGUGUCAUCAAGCUGGAGUGCAGCGGAAUGAUCUUGACUCACCGCAACCUCUGCCUCCUGGGUUCAAGCGAUUCUCCUGCCUCAGUCUCCCGAGUAGCUGGGACUACAGGUGCGUGCCACCGUGCCCAGCUAAUUUUUGUAUUUUUUGAUAGAGACGAGGUUUCACCAUGUUGGCCAGGAUGGUCUCAAUCUCUUGAUCUAGUGAUCUGCCUGCCUCGGUCUCCCAAAGUCCUGGGAUUACAGGCGUGAGCCACUGCGCCCAACUGUUUUUUGUUUUGUUUUGUUUUGUUUUGUUUUGAAUUUUUAUUUUAAGUUCAGGGGUAUAUGUGCAGGUUUGUUAUACAGGUAAACUCAUGUCAUGGGGGUUUUUUGUACAGACUAUUUUGUCACCCACUUACUAAUCCUAAUAUCUAAUCAUUAUUUUUUUCUGCUCCUCUCCCUCCACCCUCAAGUAUGCCCCAGUAUUUGUUGUUCCCCUCUUUGUGUCCAUGAGUUAUCAUCAUUUAGUUCCCACUUACAAGUGAGAAAAUGAGGUAUUUGGUUUUCUGUUCCUGCAUUAGUUUGCUAAGAUAAUGUCCUCCAGCUUUAUCCGUGUUCCUGCAAAAGACAUGAUCUCAUUCUUUUUUAUGGCUGCAUAGUAUUUCAUGGUGCAUACGUACCACAUUUUCUUUAUCUAAUCUGUCAUUGAUGGACAUUUAGGUUAAUUCCAUGUCUUUGCUAUUGUAAAUAGUGUUGCAAUGAACAUACACAUGCAUGUAUCUCUAUGGUAGAAUGAUUUAUAUUCCUUAGAGAAUAUACCCAGUAAUGGGAUUGCUGGGUUAAAUUGUAGUUCUGAUUUUAGUUUUUUGAGGAAUUGUCACACAAUGCUUUCUACAAUGGUUAAAUUAAUUUACACUCCCACCAACAGUGUAUAAGUAUUUGCUUUUCUCUGCAACCUCACCAGCAUCUGGUAUUUUUUUGACUUUUGAAUAAUAGCCAUUCUGUCUGGUGUAAGAUGGUAUCUCAUUGUGGUUUCGAUUUGCUUUUCUCUAAUGACAGCGAUGUUGAUCUUUUCUUCAUAUACUUGUUGACUGCAUGUAUGUCAUAUUUUGUAAAGUAUCUGUUUAUGUCCUUUGCCCACUUUAUAAUUGGGUUGUUUCUUCUUGUAAAUUUAUUUAAGUUUCUUAUACAUGCUGGAUACUAGACUUUUUCAGAUGCAUAGUUUGCAAAUAUUUUCUCCCAUUCUGUAGGUUGUCUGCUUAUUCUGUUGAUAGUUUCUUUUGUUGUACAGAAGCUCUUAAGUUUAAUCAUAUCCCAUUUUUCCAUGUUUGCUUUUUUUUGCAAUUGCCUUUGGUAUCUUUGUCAUGAAAUCUUUGCUUGUUCCUGUGUCCAGAAUGGUGUUGCCUAGGUUGUGUUUCUGGGUUUUUAUAGUUUGGCAUUUCACAUUUAAAUUUUUUUUUUUCUUUUUUUGACACAAGGUCUCGCUUUUUCACCCAGGCUGGAGUGCAGUGGUACAAUCUCGGAUCACUGCAGCCGUCUUUCGGGGUGUUUAUAGUUUGGCAUUUUACAUUUAAAUUUUUUUUCUUUUUUUUUUUUUUUGACACAGGGUUUUGUUUUUUCACCCAGGCUGGAGAGCAGUGGUACAGUCUCAGCUCACUGCAGCCUCAACCUCCCAGGUUCAAACGAUCCUCCCACCACAGCUCCCCAUGUAGCUGGGAAUACAGGCACGUGCCACCACGUUAGGCUAAUUUUUGUAUUUUUCAUAGAGACGUUUCACCAUGUUGCCCAGAUUGGUCUCCAACUCCUGAGCUCAAGCGAUCCAUCUGUCUCAGCCACCCAAAGAGCUAGGAUUAUAGGUGUGAGACACCACACCCGGUCUUACGUUUAAGUCUUUAAUCCAUGUGGAGUGGAUGUUUGUAUAUGGUGUAAGAAAGGGGUCCAGUUUCAAUCUUCUGCAUAUGGCUAGCUAGUUAACCCAGCACCAUUUAUUGAAUAGGGAGUCCUUUCCCCAUUGUUUGUUAUUGUCAGUGUUGUCGAAGGUCAGAUGGCUGUAGGUAUGUGGCCUUAUUUCUGGGCUCUAUUCUGUUCCAUUAGUCUAUAUGUCUGUUUUGUGUCAGUACCAUGCUGUUUUGGUUAAUGUAGCCCUGUAGUAUAGUUUGAAGUCUAGUAACAUGAUGCCUCCAGCACUGUUCUUUUUAUUUAAGGUUGCCUUGGCUAUUCAGGCUCCUUUUUGGUUCCAUAUGAAUUUUAAAAUCAUUUUUUCUAGUUCUAUGAAGAAUGUCAUUAAUUGUUUGAUAGGAAUAGCACUGAAUCUGUGUAUUGCUUUGGGCAGUAUGGCCAUUUUAACAAUAUCUAUUCUUGCUAUCCCUGAGCAUGGAAUGUUUUUUCAUUGGUUUGUGUCAUCUCUGAUUUAUUUGAGCAGUGUUUUGUAAUUCUUAUUGUAGAGAUCUUUCACCUCCCUGGUUAGCUGUAUUCCUAGGUAUUUUAUUUUAUUUUAUUUUUAUUUUUGGCAAUUGUGGAUUGGGAUUGUGUUCCUGAUUGGGCUCUUGGAUUGGCUGUUGUUGAUGUAUAGAAAUGAUAGUGAUUUUUAUACAUUGAUUUUGUAUCAUGAAACUUUGCUCAAAUUGUUUAUCAGCUGGAUGAGGUUUUGGGUCGAGACUAUGGGGCUUUCUAGAUAUAGAAUCAAGUCAUUUUUCCCUUUAUUUCUCUUGACUGAUUGCCCUGACCAGG
rnacentral:lncRNA from 1 species